UAGGGAAUCUUCGGCAAUGGGGGGAACCCUGACCGAGCAACGCCGCGUGAGUGAAGAAGGUUUUCGGAUCGUAAAGCUCUGUUGUUAAGGAAGAACGAGUGUGAGAAUGGAAAGUUCAUGCUGUGAUGGUACUUAACCAGAAAGGGACGGCUAACUACGUGCCAGCAGCCGCGGUAAUACGUAGGUCCCGAGCGUUGUCCGGAUUUAUUGGGCGUAAAGCGAGCGCAGGCGGUUAGAAAAGUCUGAAGUGAAAGGCAGUGGCUCAACCAUUGUAGGCUUUGGAAACUGUUUAACUUGAGUGCAGAAGGGGAGAGUGGAAUUCCAUGUGUAGCGGUGAAAUGCGUAGAUAUAUGGAGGAACACCGGUGGCGAAAGCGGCUCUCUGGUCUGUAACUGACGCUGAGGCUCGAAAGCGUGGGGAGCGAACAGG
rnacentral:rRNA from 2 species